rnacentral:rRNA from 1 species
UACAUGUGGGGCAAGCGUUGUUCGGAAUUACUGGGCGUAAAGGGCGCGUAGGCGGCCUGCUAAGUCGAACGUGAAAUCCCCGAGCUCAACUCGGGAACUGCGUCCGAUACUGACAGGCUUGAAUCCGGGAGAGGGAUGCGGAAUUCCAGGUGUAGCGGUGAAAUGCGUAGAUAUCUGGAGGAACACCGGUGGCGAAGGCGGCAUCCUGGACCGGCAUUGACGCUGAGGCGCGAAAGCUAGGGGAGCAAACGGGG